rnacentral:lncRNA from 1 species
CUUAUUCUGGGUCAUCUGUGUGUGUUCAUAUGUCCCUAAAGAGGUUUAAUCAGUGAAUAACAUGUUGUGUCCCUGAUGGCAUUAUUCUUCCUAUUUUUUGCUGUCAUAAUACACUGGCUUCCUCAAUGCAAUUAACCUUUUUAUUUUGAAGAGAGAAAGAAAAACAUUUUAAAGGGAUUUGGAAGGUCUUGUAGCCAGCAGAGAAAGGAAGACAUUAAUAGCGGGAGCUGCGGCAUCUAGCAGCAGGGACUCUAAGGAGUGUAUGUUAGAACUGGGAGGAGGAGAAAGAAAAUUCGGAAAUCUGCAGCUGUGUCUCCAUUGUCUUGACCAAUAUUCCAAUUAUCUACUCGGAUCUGCUGCAGUGGUGAAAGACAAAGACAAAACACGCUUUCAGCCUGUGCUCACUCAGUGGUGGAACAGGACACUUAAUGGAUGAUUGAAUCUGUAACAAAUCUGAUUUAAGAGAAAGAAAGAAAGAACAAAAACAUCGUAAAACCCCUGAAUAUCAUUGCUCCUGGAACAUUCAGCCACAACGUUAAAUUUAGGACCAACAUUGAUGUUGCCAUGGGCACAAGUACACAACGACUACAUAGGCUAAUAUGAGAAGCUUGGCCAACUUCACUCUUGAUUGUUGACUGUUUUUACUUUGUAAUUUUUUUAACCCUUUUAAGAAAUGUUCAUAGACCUCUUAAAAUAAUGAGGAACUAGGCAACACACUCAUUCCUUAUUUAUGAACCAGAAAUCAGGAGACCAAAUCUGCUUUGACAAAGUAAUCAUUAAAACACAGACACGGCUAUUUGGAUAGAAGGAGCCAUUUUGUAUGGAAGAGUUGAAAUCCCUCAAUUAUUUUUGAAGACCACCAGUAAAGCCUUCUAAAGGAAACUUUUCCUGAAUCCUCCAUGACUGUAAUUCAGUCUUGAUGAAACAAAAAGUGAAAGUAGAAGCCUAAGUGCUCCAUCUAGAGUACAAAGGAAUCAAGUUUAAAAAACUGGGAGGGAUCCUUUAGAAAAAAAGACUUUUUCAGAAAUACCCUUCAUAUGACAAACGGAUGGGACAAAGAUGAAUCACUGUUUUAUUGUUGUAAGCUUAGAAAUUGCUAUUUGUUAAUUGAAUUAGAAUUAAACUGGAAUUCUAGAAUUAGAAUCAAUUAGGAUUGUUAGAAUUGCUUGCUUCAUAAGAAAUUCUUAGAAAUUGCUUGCAAACUUGUUCUGUUUCUCAGAUUUAUUAACCUAAUCGUACAUAACAUUGAGAUAAUUCAGCCAAUCCCCUAGAUACAUUGAAGAAAUUAUAAAGGUCACCUCAAAAUGUUGAAAUAGGAAACAUGGCAUCAGUUUCUUAAUUCUUGUGUAAGACAAUAUGUUAAAAAUCUUCCUUAUCUUCCUUUAUUAAUGCAGCAUUGGCUGGAUUUCAAAUACUGAAUAUCGUAGCAUUUCCCAUAUUUGUUCUCCAGAAGUCCAUGCUCAUAAAGUGUUUGCAUUUUGUUGAUAUUAAUAUCUGUUUUUCCUUCCCUACCAGGGCAAUAAUCAGAGAUUUAUCAUUUACAACAAAGCUAAUGACAUCCAGCUUCAGAGCUUCUUACUCUCAGGGAGUGUCAUUGGAGUGACCAUGGGCAUUUAGAGAGUCUUGCUAAAUAAAAGUGGAGUUGAGGAUACA